CCUUUUUUCGGAUGGCAGUCUGAGCGUGCAGGCCGUAGCCCAGGCAAAUCCGGGCUGCAUAAGGCUGAGGCGUUAAGGGACGUGAAUCCUUCGGGUGAAGCGGAUUGUUUGAUUCCACACUGCCAAGAAAAACCUCUAGUGAGGUGAAGGUGACCGUACCGCAAACCGACACAGGUGGACGAGAUGAGUAUUCUAAGGCGCUCGGGUGAUCCACCCUUAAGGAACUCGACCAAUUAGCCCCGUAACUUCGGAAGAAGGGGUACUCCUGAUGGUGAAAGACUUGCUCUGUAAGCUUUUGGGAGUGGCACUAAAGUGGCUCAGGCGACUGUUUACUAAAAACAUAGGUCUCUGCAAAGUCGUAAGACGACGUAUAGGGACUGACGCCUGCCCAAUGCCGGAAGGUUAAGGGGAGAGGUUAGACUUCGGUCGAAGCUUUGAACUGAAGCCCCGGUUAAUGGCGGCCGUAACUAUAACGGUCCUAAGGUAGCGAAAUUCCUUGUCGGGUAAGUUCCGACCUGCACGAAUGGCGUAACGAUCUGAGCAUUGUCUCGAGGGUGGGCCCGGUGAAGUUGUAAUACCAGUGAAGAUGCUGGUUACCCGCAAAAGGACGGAAAGACCCCGUGCACCUUUACUACAGCUUGAUAUUGGGUUUAGUUAUUGCUUGUAUAGGAUAGGUGGGAGACAUUGAAACUGGGACGCUAGUCUCGGUGGAGUCACCCUUGGAAUACCACCCUGGUAAUGAUUGAAUUCUAACUCUGGACCCGUGAAUCCGGGCAGAGGACAGUGUCUGGUGGGUAGUUUGACUGGGGCGGUCGCCUCCCAAAAAGUAACGGAGGCGCCCCAAGGUUCCCUCAGCAUGUUUGGAAAUCAUGCGUAGAGUGCAAAGGCAUAAGGGAGCUUGACUGCGAGACAAACAAGUCGAGCAGGUACGAAAGUAGGGCUUAGUGAUCCAGCGGUUCCGUAUGGAAGGGCCGUUGCUCAUCGGAUAAAAGGUACGCCGGGGAUAACAGGCUGAUAACCCCCAAGAGUUCAUAUCGACGGGGUUGUUUGGCACCUCGAUGUCGGCUCGUCACAUCCUGGGGCUGAAGCAGGUCCCAAGGGUUCGUCUGUUCGCCGAUUAAAGUGGCACGCGAGCUGGGUUUAAAACGUCGUGAGACAGUUUGGUCCCUAUCCUUUGCGGGCGCAGGAAAUUUGAGGGUAGUCGUCCCUAGUACGAGAGGACCGGGAUGAACAGACCCAUGGUGAUCCGGUUGUCACGCCAGUGGCACCGCCGGGUAGCUAUGUCUGGAAGAGAUAAGCGCUGAAAGCAUCUAAGCACGAAGCUCCACCCAAGAUAAGAUUUCCCUGGGAGCAAUCCCCUGUAGAGCCCUUGUAGACCACAAGGUUGAUAGGCUGGAAGUGUAAGCACGGCGACGUGUUCAGCGGACCAGUACUAAUCGCUCGUGAGGCUUGGUCUU
rnacentral:rRNA from 1 species